AUUGAACGCUGGCGGAAUGCUUUACACAUGCAAGUCGAACGGCAGCACGGGGGCAACCCUGGUGGCGAGUGGCGAACGGGUGAGUAAUACAUCGGAACGUGCCCAGUCGUGGGGGAUAACGUAGCGAAAGCUACGCUAAUACCGCAUACGAUCUACGGAUGAAAGCGGGGGAUCGCAAGACCUCGCGCGAUUGGAGCGGCCGAUGGCAGAUUAGGUAGUUGGUGGGGUAAAGGCUCACCAAGCCUUCGAUCUGUAGCUGGUCUGAGAGGACGACCAGCCACACUGGGACUGAGACACGGCCCAGACUCCUACGGGAGGCAGCAGUGGGGAAUUUUGGACAAUGGGCGAAAGCCUGAUCCAGCCAUUCCGCGUGCAGGAUGAAGGCCCUCGGGUUGUAAACUGCUUUUGUACGGAACGAAACGGCCUUUUCUAAUACAGAGGGCUAAUGACGGUACCGUAAGAAUAAGCACCGGCUAACUACGUGCCAGCAGCCGCGGUAAAGUGU
rnacentral:rRNA from 1 species